rnacentral:lncRNA from 1 species
GCAAAUGGUUAUUUAUGUUUAAUUAUAUUAACUACACUCCUUUCCUUUACAGGGACCCCUCACCAUGACCUCCCGUAUCGCCAUGGGCCCAUAAGACAUCAGGACCUACACCCCCCACCGCCAAGAGCGAUGCUUUUAGCAGCAUCUCCAGCUCCAACACAUGCAUCUGAUGCAUCUGACAGGUCAAUGGAUCGACCUGUCACAUUUAAACAGAGAGUGAUGCUUGAAGCAGCAUCUCCAGCUCCAACAUGUGCAUCUGAUGCAUCUGACCAUUCAAUGGAUCGACCUAUCACGUUUAAACAGAGUGUGAUGCUUUUAGCAGCAUCUCCAGCUCCAGCACAUGCAUCUGAUGCAUCUGACAGGUCAAUGGAUCGACCUGUCACAUUUAAACAGAGAGCGAUGCUUGAUGCAGCAUCUCCAGCUCCAACAUGUAGAUCUGAUGCAUCUGACCAUUCAAUGGAUCGACCUAUCACAUUCAAACAGAGAGCGAUCCUUGAUGCAGCAUCUCCAGCGCCAACAUGUGCAUCUGAUGCAUCUGACCGUUCAAUGGAUCGACCUGUCACGUUUAAACAGAGAGCAAUGCUUGAUGCUGCAUCUCCAUCUCCAACAUGUACAUCUGAUGCAUCUGACCGUUCAAUGGAUCGACCUGUCACAUUCAAACAGGGAAUGAAGCCAGAGGCAGCAUCUCCAGCUCCAACAUGUGCAUCUGAUGCAUCUGACCAUUCAAUGGAUCGACCUGUGACGUUUAAAAGAAUAAAGCUAGAAGCAGCAUCUCCAGCGCCAACAUGUGCAUCUGAUGCAUCUGACCGUUCAAUGGAUCGACCUGUGACGUUUAAAAGACCAUCACCAGCUCCUACCUCCAUUUCUAUGAGGGGACAUUUGACAAAACAACCACUUUUGUUUAACAGAGGCGAAGAUACUAUUGGCGAGUUAUCAGCCUGCCUGCUGACGGAGGACCACUUCAGAUGUCCAGUGUGUUCAGAUGUGCUGAAGGAGCCGGUCUCCA